GGUGGGGUGCCGGAGCGGUCUAACGGAACGGUCCUGAAAACCGUCACAUCCGAAAGGGUGUCGUGAGUUCGAAUCUCACCCCCACCG
rnacentral:tRNA from 1 species